AGAGUUUGAUCAUGGCUCAGAUUGAACGCUGGCGGUAUGCUUAACACAUGCAAGUCGAACGGUAUCMGGCCUUCSGGCGCUGACSAGUGGCGGACGGGUGAGUAACSCGUAGGAAUCUGCCUCAUAGUGGGGGACAACGUGGGGAAACUCACGCUAAUACCGCAUACGCCCUACGGGGGAAAGCGGGGGAUCUUCGGACCUCGCGCUAUGAGAUGAGCCUGCGUUAGGUUAGCUAGUUGGUGGGGUAAAGGCCUACCMAGGCGACGAUCUAUAGCUGGUCUGAGAGGACGAUCAGCCMCMCUGGGACUGAGACACGGCCCAGACUCCUACSGGAGGCAGCAGUGGGGAAUAUUGGACAAUGGGCGAAAGCCUGAUCCMGCMAUACCSCGUGUGUGAAGAAGGCCUUAGGGUUGUAAAGCACUUUCAAUUGGGAGGAAA
rnacentral:rRNA from 1 species